rnacentral:rRNA from 1 species
CCUACGGGAGGCUGCAGUGAGGAAUAUUGGUCAAUGGCCGAGAGGCUGAACCAGCCAAGUCGCGUGAGGGAUGACGGCCCUACGGGUUGUAAACCUCUUUUGUCGGGGAGCAAAGCGAGUCACGUGUGACGCUUUGAGAGUACCCGAAGAAAAAGCAUCGGCUAACUCCGUGCCAGCAGCCGCGGUAAUACGGAGGAUUCAAGCGUUAUCCGGAUUUAUUGGGUUUAAAGGGUGCGUAGGCGGUAGGUUAAGGUAGAGGUGAAAUUCCGGGGCUCAACCUCGGAAUUGCCGCUGAUACUGUUCGUCUUGAGAGUAGGUGCGGUAGGCGGAAUGUAUGGUGUAGCGGUGAAAUGCUUAGAGAUCAUACAGAACACCGAUUGCGAAGGCAGCUUACCAAGGUACUUCUGACGUUGAGGCACGAAAGCGUGGGGAGCGAACAGGAUUAGAUACCCUUGUAGUC